UUUAAUUUUGUUCGGGUUUGACCAUAAACACACAAAAUCAAAUGUCACCGACAGAAUAAUAAUUUGAUACCCGAAAUGUUAUUAGCAAAUCAAGUUACAGCAGCAUGAAUAGUAAUUGCAAAUACUCGUAGUUAGUCGAAGACUUUUAAAUGCACAGGCGGAGUACAAUGUUAAUUCAAAAUAAGCUCUGGAAACCUCUGCAGUGUCUUUACCUUACUUGGAACACAGUACUGUUGGAAAUAUAACGUGCUCAACUCGAUUGUUUUUGGACCGUGUACAUUUACCGUAUGCUAUUUAUAGUCUGACUAAGUGGCGGGCAUAUUUGAGGCAAUUACACUUGCCGUUAACAAACCAGGACAACAAGGCACAAUGGCGGCCAUUUUCGCACACACGCCGGAAGACAUUAACACACAAAUGGCAGACAAUGCGUUCUCUGAAACAUUUUCUCUCGCUCUCUACCCUCGCUCUGGUCACCUCCCCUGCAUUUGUGGGCUGUUAUCAUUAAGUUAAUUAUAUGUUUGCGGGUGCCAAGAGGUAAUUACAGCUCGGAUUUCGGGCUUUUCAGAUGUCGAUGAUGAUGUCCACGAAUGACUUGGGGUCGGCCAUAGUCAAGUUGUAAUUAAUUUGAAAGCAAACAUUGCAAAGCGCCCUCUGAUGUGGUUUGGUUUCCUCAUUCGACUUUAUGGUUUUCCACUGUAAAUCUCAAAUAUACAACACAUACAAACAUACACACAUAAUAUGGAAGAGUGCUAGUUUCUCCUUUGAAAAGUUAUUAGAGAUACCCGGCAGAUGAACCUGGCAACAGGCCAAAAUUAUUCCUUAUCAUACUGCAGAUGUUUAUAAAUUAUUCAGAGCUGGCUCUUAAGCUCUUCUCUGAAACUGUCAAAAAAAUUGUC